UACGUAGGGGGCUAGCGUUGUUCGGAAUUACUGGGCGUAAAGCGCACGUAGGCGGAUUUGUUAGUCAGGGGUGAAAUCCCGGGGCUCAACCUCGGAACUGCCUUUGAUACUGCAAGUCUCGAGUCCGAUAGAGGUGGGUGGAAUUCCUAGUGUAGAGGUGAAAUUCGUAGAUAUUAGGAAGAACACCGGUGGCGAAGGCGGCCCACUGGAUCGGUACUGACGCUGAGGUGCGAAAGCGUGGGGAGCAAACAGG
rnacentral:rRNA from 1 species